rnacentral:lncRNA from 1 species
CUUUUGAUCUUUAGGUCUCCCCCGGUCCGGUUCUGCUCCACUAAGCGCCGAGUCUCUGAGUCAGCACCGGACUCCAUCUUCUCAACCUCCUCUGAUUAAAAUCCCACCACGGACCAGAAGGUAAAUGAGGGUCAAAUAUCCAUCUCAGCCUCACUGGGCCAUGGUCUCAUUAUCCAAGGUGGACUAGGAUCUCCUCACCCCCAGGAAAACCAAGAUCUCCUCAGCCCAGAAGGACCAAGAUCCUCUCCACAUGGACCAGGAUCUCCUCAGCACAGACGGACCAGGACUAGGUUCUCCUCAACCCAGACGGACCAGGACCAGGAUCUCCUCAGAAAGAUGGACCAGGACCAGGAUCUCCUCAGAAAGAUGGACCAGGACCAGGAUCUCCUCAGCCCAGACGUAUCAGGAUCUCCACAAUAAACGUAUCUCAGGAGCGCAGAUGAAGCGAUGUAUCCCCGCGUCCUUCCAAACCAAAGUGUGAAUCAGUG